ACACAGGUGCUGCAUGGUUGUCGUCAGCUCGUGUCGUGAGAUGUACGGUUAAGUCCGUGAACGAGCGCAACCCCUGCCCUUAGUUGCUAAUAUGCGAAAGCAUAUGCACUCUAAGGGGACCGCCAGCGGAAAGCUGGAGGAAGGUGGGGAUGACGUCAAAUCCUCAUGGCCUUUAUGUCCAGGGCUACACACAUGCGACAAUGGUCGAGACAACGCGUUGCAAACCAGUAAUGGUAAGCUAAUCGCAUAAAUCGACCUCAGUACGGAUUGAGGGUUGCAAUUCACCCUCAUGAAGCUGGAGUUGCUAGUAACCGCAGGUCAGCUAUACUGCGAUGAAUACGUUCCCGGGGCUU
rnacentral:rRNA from 1 species